UCAUUCAGCUGCUAACUGCACCCCAGACACAUAACCCAAUCUCCUGGAAGGCAGCCACUCCUGGGGAAGCGAGCUGCCAUAUCGGAUCUGGAGCUGCGCUCAACAGAGAUUUUAAAGCUAUAUUGACUUUUAAGGCUUUUAGGCUCCUGCACCUCUGAACAGCAAAAAUGGCUGGUACUGCUAACAAGAGCGUACCAUGUAGAAGGAGAAGACCCUGUGGUCAGCUUUGCAGCCAUCCUCAGCACGGCACAGCCCAGAGACUCUCCCAGAACAACUUCAUCCCGGGCAAGGCACAAGGAGACAUCAUGGGGUGAAACAGAGCAGAACAGGCAGUGCUGGUCAGUAAGAGUGCAAAAAUACCUGCUAUAACCACAGGAUCUGGGCUUGAAGGACAUUUGAAUUUAAUUUUCAAGCUUUUCUCUGCAACAUAAAAUGAAAGCUGAAACUUUCAUCUAAUUACAUUUCCACAUCUCCAAGGAAAACACCAAAUACCAAGAUGCUUAGGAUCAAAACAAGAGCUGAUGACCCUGAGGUUUAUGUCCAGUCCAUUCCUUUGGGAAGAAAGUGAGUUGAGAAUGAAUGAGCACAGCACAGCCGCUUCAUGAGUCAAACUACCUCAUUACGCUCUAAAUUCCAACAUGAGCACCUACUGAACCAGAAACCCCUCCCAUGGCCCAGCCCCUUCACUUACGCCACAGCAUUGCAGAAGUCGCACUUGUUUCUGUAGGUAACCCCGUUGCUGCCGCAGAUGGGCAUGUACUCCAGG